UUACACCUCUCAAGCACAGCUUGGUGUUGGGCGUCUGUCCCUGCGUUGUGCAGUGGACUCGCCUGAAAAGCAUCGGCGUCCGGCGGUUGGUCUUGCGCGUAGCAGAUUGUUCGCACAAGAACCAGGCCGCAGGGCUGUCGCACACGUCUUUUGAUUCUCAGUUUGACCUCGGAUCAGGUAGGGAUACCCGCUGAACUUAA
rnacentral:misc_RNA from 1 species